rnacentral:lncRNA from 1 species
CCCUGUAACAGUAACACAUGCUAAAUACUGAAUCUUAUCUUCCACUAUCAUGGCAUAUGCUUGAUUAAUAGUAGGGGUAACUCCUUUCAACAAUAUCUGCCUUCGAGCCUGCUCAUAUGAAUCAUUUAAAUCACUCAGGAAUUGAAUCAAUCUCAGCUGAUAUAAAUGGUCUGCAUAAUCUUUCAACUUCGGAUAAAUACAAGUUGGGGCUGGAAUAACAACAUCAUACUCAUUCCACAGAUUCUUCAACUUUGUGAAGUAAGUAGACACUGAAUCAGUUCCUUGUGUAAGUGUAUUAAUCUCUUUGUGCAGCUGAUAGAGUCUCAUAUGAUUCACUUUGUCAAAUUGUUCUCUUAGAUCUUCCCACACCUCAAAA